AAAAAGAUUUUCAAAGUUAAUUAAUUUACAAAAAAAGGGAUGCGGUCACUUUCGGAGUAAUACACGGAAUCGUCAUUCUCAUCUUCUUCAUCGUCUGCUUCAUCACCAUGGAAGGCGCCUGCUGUAAAAACCGCCGCUCCUCUUAGUCUCUCCCUGCAUUAGAUCAAUCAGAUGUCGUUCUCAACUAUAAGACUCGUGAUUCUGUUUCUGGAUCUGUGCGUAGAGACACCGGACUCUCUCACUCAACGCCGGCGUGUGAGGAUCACGUGCAUCAUGACGGAGGUGCGUGUAGUCACUUGCAUGAUCACGAUCAUCAUCAUGAGGCGGUGAAGAUGAAGUUGCCGGAGGAGCUGGUUGAGGAGGAGGAUAUGAGGUUAUGUGGGUUUGAGCCUUGUCUUCAUCAUGAUCAUGAUCAUGAAUCAAGUUCUAAUCUUUCUGGAUUUGCAUUUUUGGUUAGCUUGGCGUCGCUCAUUUGUCUGAUAUUCCUGCCAGUUAUGUUCGUCUACUGUUCAAGGGAAGCCUGCAAAAUGGUUUGUUGAUGCAUUGGCUUGACACACAACUGCAGCAGAUUUGGCCAGAUCACCCUAUCCUUUUUGACUUCUGGCGAAGAGUUUAGUAAGUCUAUGUAUACCAUUCCUGCAACAAACUUUAAUGCAGCGGCACCAUUUACAGAGCAUUCAUAUAUGUGCUCGUCACUUGUGAAAGUUAAUGUGGACAGGAAUGUAUGGAGCUCGACUUGUUCUUCUGAUCUAGCUGGUCGAAGAAUCCAUCUGUCUUGGUCAUACAGUUAAUGGACACCAAGUCUUUAGGCAGAUCUUCCCAAGAAUGUUCAAAGAUUACCCUUAGAAGACCAGUUAUGGUGCCAAAACAGUCGGGACCAUAUGUGUACUACAUGGCUCAUCGAGAUAGAAAUAAGGAAGCAAAGCGAUGACUUUUCUCCAACUGUUCUGCAACAAUUUAAUCAGUGCGCCCCACAAUGUCUAGGACACAUUGAGGUGUUGCGGUGCCAGAAUCUUCAUUUGAGCCGUUUUCACCAGACUACAUGGUGCCUGUCUUACCACCAGUUUCAGUGCUUCUUUGUCGAAAAUGACAAAGGUUCCUUCAUUGCCACUGUCGUCGCAAACUUUAACCUCGAACCGGCGGUGCAGGAGAUGAAGUACCAACCAUAUUCUUCCAUGACAUCCGUUAUUGUUGCAGUACAAAUGAAGCUAGCAACCUGAAUGUUUAGAUGGGUGUAAAUACUAAGAAUAAUAAAGAAAUAAUUUUAAUGUGUGCGAGGAAGGCCAAACCUGUGGUGACUCAUUUUCUAAGAAUUUGUGAAUUUCUUUCAA